AUACGGAAGGUCCGGGCGUUAUCCGGAUUUAUUGGGUUUAAAGGGAGCGCAGGCGGAGAUGCAAGCGUGACGUCAAAUUUCGGGGCUCAACCCCGUCUCGCGUCGCGAACUGCGUCCCUUGGUUGCGGGAAGGGGAGGCGGGACUCGGGGUGUAGCGGUGAAAUGCAUAGAUAUCACGAAGAACUCCGAUCGCGAAGGCAGCCUUCCGGCCCGUCAACGACGCUCAUGCUCGAAGGUGCGGGUAUCAAACAGGAUUAGAUACCCUGGUAGUCCGCACAGUAAACGAUGGACACCCGCGGUUUGGCCUGUAUGGCUGAGCCGCCAAGCGAAAGCGUUAAGUGUCCCACCUGGGGAGUACGCCGGCAACGGUGAAACUCAAAGGAAUUGACGGGG
rnacentral:rRNA from 1 species